rnacentral:rRNA from 1 species
UACAGAGGGUGCGAGCGUUGUCCGGAAUCACUGGGCGUAAAGGGCGCGUAGGCGGCUUGGUAAGGUUGCGGUGAAAGCCCGGGGCUCAACCCCGGGUCGGCCGUGGCAACUGCUGAGCUGGAGCACUGUAGAGGCAGGUGGAAUUCCUGGUGUAGCGGUGAAAUGCGCAGAUAUCAGGAGGAACACCGGUGGCGAAGGCAGGUCUCUGGGCCACUACUGACGCUGAGAAGCGAAAGCAUGGGGAGCGAACAGG